GAUGAACGCUAGCGGCAGGCUUAACACAUGCAAGUCGAGGGGCAGCAUAAACAUUGCUUGCAAUGUUUGAUGGCGACCGGCGCACGGGUGCGUAACGCGUAUGCAACCUACCCAUAACAGGGGGAUAACACUGAGAAAUUGGUACUAAUACCCCGUAAUAUUAUGAAAGGCAUCUUUUAUAGUUGAAAGUUCCGGCGGUUAUGGAUGGGCAUGCGUUGUAUUAGCUAGUUGGUGAGGUAACGGCUCACCAAGGCGACGAUACAUAGGGGGACUGAGAGGUUAACCCCCCACAUUGGUACUGAGACACGGACCAAACUCCUACGGGAGGCAGCAGUGAGGAAUAUUGGUCAAUGGACGCAAGUCUGAACCAGCCAUGUCGCGUGAAGGAUGACUGUCCUAUGGAUUGUAAACUUCUUUUAUAUGGGGAUAAAGUGUGAGACUUGUCUCAUUUUGCAUGUACCAUAUGAAUAAGCAUCGGCUAACUCCGUGCCAGCAGCCGCCGUAAAAC
rnacentral:rRNA from 1 species